rnacentral:rRNA from 1 species
AACGCUAGCUACAGGCUUAACACAUGCAAGUCGAGGGGCAUCAGGGUAGCAAUACCGCUGGCGACCGGCGCACGGGUGAGUAACACGUAUCCAACCUACCGUUAACUCGGGGAUAGCCUUUCGAAAGAAAGAUUAAUACCCGAUAGUAUAUUUUCUUCGCAUGUUGAAAAUAUUAAAGAAUUUCGGUUAUCGAUGGGGAUGCGUUCCAUUAGGCAGUUGGCGGGGUAACGGCCCACCAAACCUACGAUGGAUAGGGGUUCUGAGAGGAAGGUCCCCCACAUUGGAACUGAGACACGGUCCAAACUCCUACGGGAGGCAGCAGUGAGGAAUAUUGGUCAAUGGACGAAGGUCUGAACCAGCCAAGUAGCGUGAAGGAUGACUGCCCUAUGGGUUGUAAACUUCUUUUAUAUGGGAAUAAAGUUCUCCACGUGUGGAGUUUUGUAUGUACCAUUAUGAAUAAGCAUCGGCUAACUCCGUGCCAGCAGCCGCGGUAAUACGGAGGAUGCGAGCGUUAUCCGGAUUUAUUGGGUUUAAAGGGAGCGUAGGUGGACUGGUAAGUCAGUUGUGAAAGUUUGCGGCUCAACCGUAAAAUUGCAGUUGAUACUGUCAGUCUUGAGUACAGUAGAGGUGGGCGGAAUUCGUGGUGUAGCGGUGAAAUGCUUAGAUAUCACGAAGAACUCCGAUUG